rnacentral:rRNA from 1 species
AUUUUGGACAAUGGGCGAAAGCCUGAUCCAGCAAUGCCGCGUGUGUGAAGAAGGCCUUCGGGUUGUAAAGCACUUUUGUCCGGAAAGAAAUGGCCCGGGAUAAUACCCUGGGUUGAUGACGGUACCGGAAGAAUAAGCACCGGCUAACUACGUGCCAGGAGCCGCGGUAAUACGUAGGGUGCGAGCGUUAAUCGGAAUUACUGGGCGUAAAGCGUGCGCAGGCGGCGAUGCAAGACAGAUGUGAAAGCCCCGGGCUCAACCUGGGAAUGGCAUUUGUGACUGCAUGGCUAGAGUGCGUCAGAGGGGGGUGGAAUUCCGCGUGUAGCAGUGAAAUGCGUAGAGAUGCGGAGGAACACCGAUGGCGAAGGCAGCCCCCUGGGAUGACACUGACGCUCAGGCACGAAAGCGUGGGGAGCAAACAGG